GAUGUAACGGGGCUAAGCAAUACACCGAAGCUGCGGCAAUAUCUUUUAGAUAUUGGGUAGGGGAGCGUUCUGUAAGCCGUUGAAGGUGAAUCGUAAGGUUUGCUGGAGGUAUCAGAAGUGCGAAUGCUGACAUGAGUAACGACAAAGGGGGUGAAAAACCUCCUCGCCGGAAGACCAAGGGUUCCUGUCCAACGUUAAUCGGGGCAGGGUGAGUCGACCCCUAAGGUGAGGCCGAAAGGCGUAAUCGAUGGGAAACGGGUUAAUAUUCCCGUACUUCUGACUAUUGCGAUGGGGGGACGGAGAAGGCUAGGUGGGCCAGGCGACGGUUGUCCUGGUUCAAGUGCGUAGGCUUGAGAGUUAGGUAAAUCCGGCUCUCUCUAAGGCUGAGACACGACGUCGAGCUGCUACGGCAGUGAAGUCAUUGAUGCCAUGCUUCCAGGAAAAGCCUCUAAGCUUCAGAUAGUCAGGAAUCGUACCCCAAACCGACACAGGUGGUCGGGUAGAGAAUACCAAGGCGCUUGAGAGAACUCGGGUGAAGGAACUAGGCAAAAUGGUACCGUAACUUCGGGAGAAGGUACGCUCUUGAUGGUGAAGUCCCUCGCGGAUGGAGCUGACGAGAGUCGCAGAUACCAGGUGGCUGCAACUGUUUAUUAAAAACACAGCACUGUGCAAAAUCGCAAGAUGACGUAUACGGUGUGACGCCUGCCCGGUGCCGGAAGGUUAAUUGAUGGGGUUAGCGCAAGCGAAGCUCUUGAUCGAAGCCCCGGUAAACGGCGGCCGUAACUAUAACGGUCCUAAGGUAGCGAAAUUCCUUGUCGGGUAAGUUCCGACCUGCACGAAUGGCGUAAUGAUGGCCACGCUGUCUCCACCCGAGACUCAGUGAAAUUGAAAUCGCUGUGAAGAUGCAGUGUACCCGCGGCUAGACGGAAAGACCCCGUGAACCUUUACUACAGCUUGGCACUGAACAUUGAACCUACAUGUGUAGGAUAGGUGGGAGGCUAUGAAGACGUGACGCCAGUUGCGUUGGAGCCGUCCUUGAAAUACCACCCUUGUAUGUUUGAUGUUCUAACUUAGACCCAUUAUCUGGGUUGAGGACAGUGCCUGGUGGGUAGUUUGACUGGGGCGGUCUCCUCCCAAAGAGUAACGGAGGAGCACGAAGGUGGGCUAAUCACGGUUGGACAUCGUGAGGUUAGUGCAAUGGCAUAAGCCCGCUUAACUGCGAGAAUGACGGUUCGAGCAGGUGCGAAAGCAGGUCAUAGUGAUCCGGUGGUUCUGUAUGGAAGGGCCAUCGCUCAACGGAUAAAAGGUACUCCGGGGAUAACAGGCUGAUACCGCCCAAGAGUUCAUAUCGACGGCGGUGUUUGGCACCUCGAUGUCGGCUCAUCACAUCCUGGGGCUGAAGUCGGUCCCAAGGGUAUGGCUGUUCGCCAUUUAAAGUGGUACGCGAGCUGGGUUUAGAACGUCGUGAGACAGUUCGGUCCCUAUCUGCCGUGGGCGUUGGAAGAUUGAAGGGGGCUGCUCCUAGUACGAGAGGACCGGAGUGGACGAACCUCUGGUGUUCGGGUUGUGUCGCCAGACGCAUUGCCCGGUAGCUAAGUUCGGAAUUGAUAAGCGCUGAAAGCAUCUAAGCGCGAAGCGAGCCCUGAGAUGAGUCUUCCCUGACAGUUUAACUGUUCUAAAGGGUUGUUCGAGACUAGAACGUUGAUAGGCAGGGUGUGUAAGCGUUGUGAGGCGUUGAGCUAACCUGUACUAAUUGCCCGUGAGGCUUAACCA
rnacentral:rRNA from 1 species